UUGGCAACUCAUUUGGUGCUAUAAAUAGGGGACGACAGAUGGGUUGAUCAUUCAAUUCUUACAUCUCCUAUCCACUUCCUCUCUCCCUCUCUUACAACUCUAGGAUUAAGGGCAAAGGCUUGUUCUUUUAAGACAAGCCUAAUCCUAAUAGCUCUCAGGGUUUAAGAGGUCCCAAAAAAGGUGAUCAGAUCUAGUGAGUGAUUCAAAGAGGUUCAGACUCAGGUCUAAAGGAAGGUCUGAUCGAUUGAUGGCUAGUCGAGUUCUAGGGGCUAGAACUCUUGAAGC
rnacentral:lncRNA from 1 species